UACGUAGGGUGCGAGCGUUAAUCGGAAUUACUGGGCGUAAAGGGUGCGUAGGCGGCGCGGUAAGUCGGGUGUGAAAUCUUGGAGCUUAACUCCGAAACUGCAUUCGAUACUGCCGUGCUUGAGGACUGGAGAGGAGACUGGAAUUCAUGGUGUAGCAGUGAAAUGCGUAGAGAUCAUGAGGAAGACCAGUGGCGAAGGCGGGUCUCUGGACAGUUCCUGACACUGAGGCACGAAGGCCAGGGGAGCAAACGGG
rnacentral:rRNA from 1 species